ensembl:lncRNA
GGAUGCUACUGGCACAUGGACCACACCUGGAUUAGCAAAGGUUUCGAGUCUUUGGAAUCAGACAUGACUCUGAGUCUCAGCUCUGACCCUAAAUUGCUGUCUUACCUGGGGCAAGGACUGAACCUUGCUAGGCCUCAAUUCAUUCAUCGAUAAAACAGAUAAACUUUCUAGCAGAGUAUCAGGCAGAGAGUAACUGCUCAGUAAAGAUGGUUUUGCUGGUCUGAUGUGAGGAGCUCCCGGAGGCUGUUGACAGUGGGUGUAGCUUCUAGUGUUGACUCAGCUUCUUCAUUGCCUUGAACCCUGAAGCCUCAUAAGGAGCCCACUGGGAGGGUCAGACAGAGGGUCAGCAAACCCUGCAGGCCAGUUAGUUUAGGAGAAAAGUGUAGUAAGUGCUGCAGAGGAUGAGGGCUUCUGAGGUGGAAGUGCAGACUUUGACCAAGUCUGCUGGGAACUGAAGAGAAUACAAGAUAAGCCAUGAAUUCUGAGGACAGAAGUCCUUGAUGUUGGGCUUCUUUGGACCUGCCUCUAUUUUCUAUGGAAGCUGACCUCUUAGACACUAGACAAGCAACUGCUGCUGCUUCUCAUCUCUCUGACAUCAUAUAAGGACUCACUUGAUUGAAGAGAUGAGACUGGUGUGAUGGAAGCAGAAGGAAGGAGAAAAUGAAGUCUGAGAGCAUUCUUGGCCCAAAAAGACACCAGUAGCGUCGUCCCCACAGCAGUCAGCCAACAUCCCCCAGAUGAGAACCACUGAACCAGAUAAUAUUCAUGUUCAUUCCAGGUGGGUUCUUUACCACUAGCGCCACCUGGGAUGCUGCAAACCUAUGAGCCCCACCUGUUACUCCAGAUGCUUCGGCAGCCACUAGUUGAGAGCAGAUGUCAACAGUCUUCAACUGGUCAGUCCCCACCCUGGACCUUGAGGGUGUAUUUCUGGCUUCUAUGACACCAUGAUGGUCUAUAGGAACUGAUUGGCCUUUAGCUUGGACACAGAAGUUGUGUAUGUAUUUGUGUGUGUGUGUGUGUGUGUGUGUGUGGUUAAUGCCUGUGGGACCACCUUGAACAAUGGGGCUGAGCAGUUGAAUACCCCCAGGCAGAGAGAUUCAGAUGCAUUUCAUCAGCCUCUGCAGGCUGAGCACCCUCAGCAGAGGUCACCCCAUAGUACAUCUUUGCUUUGCUCUCCCUUCCCCCUGUUCCUCUUCCCUGGAC